CAUGGCGUAAGGUCCACCAUCUCUCCCAUUCGCCACCGUCUUCUCUCACCACCACCAGUCACCUGCAAAUCACGUGACUUCACCGAACCGGGGCGUCCAAGACCAGCCAAGCUCUGUCAAGAGAAUCCUCAGAGAUUUCGCCACCACCGGAUAGUCCCGCGGGCUCAAAUCAUCGGAAAUCGAAAGGACGUCGGUUCCCGAAACCCUAACCUCUGUAUCUCGCUUUGCAGAGUCGCCGCUCAAAGUCCGAGGAAGAACACGCCUUCCACAGCUCCGGUCCAUGAGAAGAAUCAACGCCGUCGGAGACAAAGCCUAGAACCCCAUCGUCCUCGAACGGAGGCAACUACUAUCGACCGACGAGACACCAAGACGCUGGAUCUUUCGUAGGGAACCAUCGCUCAAGGCCCACCCGACGCACGGAGACUGUUAGUUUUCACCGAAUCUUGUCUGCUCCGUCAGGUUGACCGGAUUCCGAGAAGGAGGGGGGGCAUCUACG
rnacentral:lncRNA from 1 species